UGAUUCCAGAAUCUUCCUGCAUGUGAAUGCUGGCUACACUCUUCUGGGUCCCGAGGACUGAGAAUUCCACCUGCCUUGCAGAGCUUGCAGCCUGUCGGAGACAGACCUGGAGCCAGACAGAGCAGCAGGUGCAGAGCGUUUCACGGGCUCCUCAGCUCCCUCCCACCUGGGGCGCCGACUCACCGCAGGUCAGAAAAGAGAUCUCAGACAUCUUCUUUCUGGAAAACGGAUUCACGCAGGAAGGUGAGCUUUCAAGGCUAAUAUUUGCAUCCAUCUUUCAGCCCUGUUGCUCAUGUUACUCCACACCACGCUGACUUCAAACAUCGCAAUCCAGCAAGUUAUAGGCGUCACCCUCAGCUCUUCUCAGGAACAGAAGUGGUUGUGUAAUCCCAAGGCCUGUGUGGAAUGUGGCAGCAGCUGAAACCAAAUUAUUAACCAUUUUCCAAACCAAAAUCCUGGAAAGCGAUAGCAGAGAUACUUGUGAGUGGACAACGAUAGUGAUCCAGAAUUUUCUCAAUCCUCUGACCCAAAUACAUCCAGUCCCUCCUGAUUUGAAAGUCUUUACUGACAUGGUUAAUGUUUUUCCUUAUGUACUUUAACAUACUCAAAAUUGUCUCCUUCCCUAGGUUUUUUGCUGUGAUGUAAAACAGGUGUGAGCAGAGUCAAGGUGGGGGAGGGGGGCUCCCUGGCUAUCCAGAGGUCCUUCCCCCCUUUCUUUAGGGGUGGGGGAGUGGGUCUAGCUGAGCACAGAGGAGGAUGUUUGGUUGCGUAGGAGAUGGUCUGGGAGACUCCCACACUCCUUCCCCUUGGGCAGGGGAGGAGCUCCCCCUCCCUUUGACCUCAGGGUUGAAAGGCAAAUGCCCUGUGGUGGUAUCCUGUGUGUCUGCCUGCCCUGCAUCCAGUCCCCUUCAUCUGGGAUUUUCCUCUGUGGAACCACUCCUGCCCACUCUCAGUCUUGGUCAGGGUGGUACUCGCCUAACCCCCUAUGCCAGAGUUGGAUAAUUGGGGUUAUAGUGAUUGGCUCACAUAACCAAAGCCAGGCCACCAAGCAUCAGUCCUGGGAUGUUUGCUGGAAUUCUCUAGAUAGAAGCAUUCCCUUCAUCUGGGAUCAAUAAACUUGAAGGAGGGGAUUCUGAAGCUAUAGGGUGACUGUCUUUGGGGGCAGUCAUUCAAGAGGAGAGCUGAAAGACAGACGGAUAGCAUCCUGUUGGUAUCAUUUGAGUCCCUGGAUCCAGACAAUCCUGAAACCAGGUGUAUCUCUGGUUUCC
rnacentral:lncRNA from 1 species